UACGGGGGGGGCAAGCGUUGUUCGGAAUUACUGGGCGUAAAGGGCUCGUAGGUGGCCAACUAAGUCAGACGUGAAAUCCCUCAGCUUAACUGGGGAACUGCGUCUGAUACUGGAUGGCUUGGAUUCGGGAGAGGAAUGCGGAAUUCCAGGUGUAGCGGUGAAAUGCGUAGAUAUCUGGAGGAACACCGGUGGCGAAGGCGGCAUUCUGGACCGACAUUGACGCUGAGGAGCGAAAGCCAGGGGAGCAAAGCGGG
rnacentral:rRNA from 1 species